rnacentral:rRNA from 1 species
GACGAACCGAGCGAACGUUAUUCGGAAUCACUGGGCUUAAAGGGCGCGUAGGCGGGUCAGCAAGUCAGGGGUGAAAUCCCACGGCUCAACCGUGGAAGUGCCUUUGAUACUGUUGAUCUCGAGGGAGGUAGGGGCGUGCGGAACUUCCGGUGGAGCGGUGAAAUGCGUAGAUAUCGGAAGGAACACCGGUGGCGAAAGCGGCGCGCUGGACCUCUUCUGACGCUGAGGCGCGAAAGCCAGGGGAGGCCAAAGCGGGAUUAAGAUGACCCGGG